ACUUGCCUUUAUUUCUCAAACAUGAGGUGAGGUGAGGGGAAAUUGAAAUUAACGUCCUGCUUGAGAAUAUUUCGCUCAUAUGACGACGUGCAUGCGUGUGUAUGUGUACGUGUAUGUGCGGCUGCUUGUACUAGCCCAGACGGAAGCUGGUUUUAUAGUGCUAGCCCACUGAG